GCGGGUUUAGCUCAGUUGGGAGAGCGUCAGACUGAAGUCCACUUCAAUCAACAAAUCUGAAGGUCAUGUGUUCGAUCCACAUAAACCGCA
rfam:Podospora anserina genomic DNA, chromosome 7.